AAGGAGGGAGGGGGGGCUGCUCUAUAUUUUUUUUUUUACCCGACAAUAUACCUUUUCCGUUAUCACAACAUGUUAAGUUGAUUAUUUUAACACGCAAAGUUUGACGUAUAGGUUGUCCCUUUUUCACAUAUAAGUAUUGCAUUGUAAUGUAACUAUAAAAUUUAAGGAACCAGGCCUAAUUGAAGUUCAGGACUAUUGUAGCAGGGCUCAAAAUUAACAUAUGCCCGUCAGUCAGUGACUGGUUAAAAGUCUGGCGGACUGACAUACAUUUGUUUUAGUCAGUCCGAAGGAACUGGUUAAUUUCCCAAAGCAUCAUUUUGGAAAAUAUACUUAGGGCUAUUCCAGAAAUAAAUACAUGGGGGGAGUAGGGAGGCACCUUUUGUAUAUACCAAGCACCCAUAAUAAAAAAUUAAAAAAUACCCCAUGACCCAUCAAAUUAAUAUAACUCAUUUAACAAUGACCCAUCUAAUUAAAAAAAAACUUAACCAGACCCACCACAAAAAUAUUUCAAAAAAUGAAAACAGUACAAAUCUCGCAAUGUUUUCGGGACAAACAUUCCAGUAGCAAGCGCAGGCUCGUACUGCAAGCUCUUAUGACUAAAGCGCGGGAAAUAAUCCGAGCUAAAUCUCAACCUCUAACACGGAAAAUUUUUUGACGCCAAUCCCAGAAGUCCCUUAUCAAAAAUGGCUGAGAUCUCGCCAAGUCACACCUUGGAAUAUGAUUGUGAACUUAAGCAGAAUAUCAUCCUAAUCUUGUGGCCUCCUAGCUCCAAAAUUUAGUGCACCAUUAGGCAAAAUGUUUAACGGAGUGCAAUGUUUAUGAAAGGCAGGCUAAGAUGAUGUGUGACAUCAUGUCUACGUUUUGACGUACGUCAUAAUAAGGCAGACAGUGGCGGAUCUAAAUACGUACUUGUUAAAAGUCAUACUACCGGGACAUUAUUAUUACGUGAACAUUAAAAUACUAAAUUCUCAAUAGCAAUUUAUUAUUCUAACCAAAAAAAAACAACAAGAGGUACUGUGAGCAAUGCUCACUAAGAAUACCCCCCGCUUACCCCAAUCUCCCAAAGGGUGUUCCAUGCGAUGAAAAAAGCCGUUAGAGAAUUUAAAUGGAAACAAUAUUGCUACUUCAAUGUCCAGUGCGCUUGACCUUUGACCCCAAAAUCGAUAGGGAACAUCUUCAUCCCAUGGGUAGUCCAUAUGUAUGAUAUGGUGACUGUAGGUGGAAAGGAUAACGCUUUAGAGCCCGGAAACCAUAUUGCUACUUCGAUGUCCAGUGCGCUUGACCUUUGACCCCAAAAUCGAUAUGGAACAUCUUCAUCCCAUGGGUAGUCCAUAUAUAUGAUAUGGUGACGGUAGGUGGAAAGGAUAAUGCUUUAGAGCCCGGAAACCAUUGUGUCUACAGACGGACGAACAACCCGAUUCCAGUAUACCCCCCCUCCCACAACUUGUUGCGGGGGGUAUAAAAAAGGGGGGAGACUAACUUCUUAAAAACUGUUAGAAUACAUGAGGGAUCACAGGUACUGAAUUAGUGGUAUUUAAAAAAUUACAAAAAAUCGAUUGGAUUGAAAACAUUUUUUUUAAAUCUUUGGUUUUUUUCCCGUGACUAAAAAUAACAAGUGCUUCAAUUCAUUUCCUUUUAACAUGUCUGGUAAUGCAAACCACGAUGACAUGUUUAUCAUUCUUAAACAGAUUAAAAUGUAAUGAAUAAUAAAUUAUGAUACAACAUUCUAGAUUUUUAACUACAGUGUAUUAUUAAUUUUAUUUUACAAGUAUUUAAACCGUACUUGAUAUUCUUAAUGAUAAAUUCCAAAUACAUGUAGUCAUUUUCUCCAUUGUACAAAUUAUUCGCAAAAUUUUAUCCAUUAACUGUGGAAAAUAGGCAAACUGUAUUAAGAGACCACCUGUCAUAUGUGACCUUUUUUCCAUUCUCCGUUGGAAAGUCUCUUAAUACAGGUUUGACUGUACAUGUUUUAAUGAUUUUUAAUAUAAAACUCUGUGAGAAAAUUCAUGUAAUGAGUAUUUUGCAAAUAGAUAUUGUUUAAAUUGAACCUGAUCAAAGCAUGAACAUUACAAAAUAUGUACAUUAAUGAAGCUGCGCUCGCUCAAACGGUUGCACCAUCAACAUAUUAGUCAAUGACGCGGUAAUGCCUGUGCAACAUUGUAUCACAGUAUCACAGUAGUUCUGAAGAAACGAUGUCACAUCAACAAUCAAAGGCAUCUAUGACGGGAAUGUUGGAAAGAUUGGGAGUCCAAGCGAUGCUAUUAUCAUGAAAUGGGUAUGGAUACGUUUUUCCACGAAUCGUUCGUCUUCUAAUGGAGCGCACGCCCGGAGGCCUCUAUAUCACCAUCACAGACUGAUAAAUAUAACGCAUCGGUACCCUCGCAUAAAUCAACCAAGGUUUGCCUAUUUUUAUUAGAAAACGGAAUACCUAUUGGUUUCAAAAUAUUCCCAAAAUUGAUGGACUGUAAACUGUAAUAAUCUACAGAACAGAGUUCGCCGCCAUCACGUCCCAACGGACCCUACUAAACGCGCCUCUAAUUUGAAGAGUGCCGUAAUGGAAAGUUAUGAGCUGCAAAGAGCGACAACUCGAAUAGUUCUAUGUUACUUCCGAAUUCGAAAGCACGUUUUCAAUUUUCCCUCCGACUUUUUGUAACCAACACGACAAGAGCGACAAUAAAAAUAUUCUGAAAACUCAACAUCCACGUGGCACAAAAUUAAAAAACAAUAGAAACUACUAGGGGUGUGUAUUGCUCAAGAUUUUCCGAUACGAUACAAUAUUUUAUGAUGCGAUAUCCGAUAUAUUGGAUUUUCAAUGUAGUUAAGCAUUUUCUGAAGUAAAAUAUCAAAAAUUAAAAAAAUGAAGUGGUUUAAUAUAUUUUAUUUCAUAACAAAACAAACAAUGACAAUUAAAGUCUGAGGAAACUCCAAUGUCACAAUGUAAAAGCGAGGAUUAAAGUCUGAGGAAUCUCCGAUGUGUCACAAUGUAAAAGCAGGGAUUAAAGUCUGAGAAAUAUCCGAUGUGUCACAAUGUAAAAACGGGGAUUAAAGUCUGAGGAAUCUCCAAUGUGUCACAAUGUAAAAGCGAGGAUUAAAGUCUGAGGAAUCUCCGAUGUGUCACAGUGUAAAAGCAGGGAUUAAAGUCUGAGGAAUCUCCGAUGUGUCACAAUGUAAAAGCGGGGAUUAAAGUCUGAGGAAUCUCCGAUGUGUCACAAUGUAAAAGCGGGAUUAAAGAUUCAUGUUCCUGUUAGAAGCCAUUUUUAAAUUAUGAACUUCGAUCCCGACUAUUAAAA